rfam:Comamonadaceae bacterium CG2_30_57_122 cg2_3.0_scaffold_51090_c, whole genome shotgun sequence.
GAAGCCCGCCAGACUGCCGCUGGUGCAAUCUUGGAAACAAGGCACUGGAGGAACGUCCGGACUGCAUAGGGCAGCGUAGCAGCUAACGGCUGUCCACUGAAAAGCCGAAAGGCCAUAAGGUGAGGAUCAGAGCAACAGAGACGAGUCAGUGCAGGUACCCUGUUUGGGGUGUUCUAUGCGUGUAGGCUGGUGCAAGCCAGCCCCCGGAUCACCGGGUGCGCAUAGCCAUCCAAUGCAGGCGAUGCCUGCAUUGGGUGAAACGGGCAAUCUCUACGCGCAGCAAUACCAAAUAGGCACACGUUGAUGGGGCCCCCGGAGUGUGCGGGUAGGUAGCACCGAGCUGUUGGGUGACCAACAGCCCAGAUGAAUGGCAGUCACAUCCAGGGCAACCUGGAUGCACAAAAUCCGGCUUAUCGGCGGGCUUCACAC